GCUAUUGCUAUUGCUAUUGCUAUUGCUAUUGCUAUUGCUAUUGCUAUUGCUAUUGCUAUUGCUAUUGCUAUUGCUAUUGCUAUAGCUAUUGCUAUUGC